CCCCGCCCACCUUACCCCGGCGGGCGCCGACAGGCCCGACGUGAGGGGGCGGGGCAGCCGUCACCACAGCCGUCCCCGCCCUCCUCCGGGCUGCCAAUCACAAGAACUCACCUGGACGAGCUCGGGCCUUUCCGGGUUGGCCCAAAGCCGGGCCUGUCACCUCACUGCAGAGCAUGAGCCGGAGGCCCAGGGCUUCCUCUAUGGAUUCCUCAUCUGCCUCCUCAGCCCCGCUCCUCGCGAGACCCCACGGACGUGGGUGGGGAUUGUUCCGCUCAUUGAUUUAUGAGGAACUUUGAGAAGACCCAGGAUUUGAAUUUCAGCGACUGAGGUGGCGGUUGGAGCUCAGGUGGCAGGCAAGGCUGGGAGGCCCAACGCAUGGGGGCAGGGCAGCUGUCACCACAGCCCUCCCCACCCUCCUCCAGGCUGCCAAUCACAAGAACUCACCUGGACAAGCUCCGGCCUUUCCAGGUUGGCCCCAAGUGGAGCCUGUCACCUACUGCAGAGUUGAUGAUGCCAAGUGGCCCAGACAUUCUUGAGCAAAUGACUUCUCUCUGAGCCCAUUUUCUCACCUAUAAAUUGGAAAUCCUGAAAAAAUACAUCCUUCGAAGAGUUGUUCUGAGACUUUACUGUAACAGUAUGCACUAAGCACCUGGCACAUGGAGAAGUCCAGUAAAUAAUGGCCAGAAGCCAGGCACAGUGGCUGAUGCCUGUAAUCCCAGCACUUUGGGAGGCUGAGCUGGACAGUAAAUAGUUGCCAGGAGUGGUGGCAAGAACAGCUGGCUGCUUCAUCCUCAAGUGAGUGCCCUUUAUGGUACCAGCUCCAGGCCUCACACAUCCACACAAGUCUUCUGUUAGGUUCUGUUCAAAGGUGAGGAGGCUGCAUUCCUUCAUGGGUCAACCAUUUAUACAUCACAGUAUACUUUUUUUUUUUUUUGAGACAGUCUCGCUCUGUCACCCAGGCUGGAGGGCAGUGGUGCAAUUUCGGCUCACUGCAACCUCUGCCUCCCAGGAUCAAGUGAUUAUCUUGCUUCA